rnacentral:misc_RNA from 1 species
GAUGAAGAACGUAGCGAAAUGCGAUAAGUAAUGUGAAUUGCAGAAUUCAGUGAAUCAUCGAAUCUUUGAACGCACCUUGCGCCUUUUGGUAUUCCGAAAGGCACACCUGUUUGAGCGUCAUGAAUACCUCAAUCUCCAUCUUUUCUUCGGAUUGAUGGGUGACUUGGAUGUUGAGCCCUGCUGGUAUGCUAUAUCAGCUGGCUUUAAACUUAUUAGCCGGCUCUGUACUGGAUCGGUUUGACUCGACGUGAUAAUAUUAUCGUUGAGGAUGCAUGUCCCAUGCAGCCGGAAAGUAUCAAAGCAGCUUCUAGCUUGCCUUUAGUGCACUUUUACAUUUUAGACCUCAGAUCAGGUGGGACUACCCGCUGAACUUAAGCAUAUCAAUAAGCGGAGGA